rnacentral:lncRNA from 1 species
AGAGACCGGCCCACUAUGUUGCCCAGGCAGAUCUCGAACUGCUGAGCUCAAGCGAUCCUCCCGCCUCCCCUCCCGAAGUGCUAGGAUUCCAGGUGUGGCCACCGCGCCCACCACUUCCUUGCCUCCUCUCCCAAGCUUGCCCUCCUGUCUCCUGCUUUCCCUUAGACAAACUCAUAUGAUCCUGGGCCCGCGCAGAUAAUCUGGCAUAAUCUCAAAAUCCUUAAUCCCAUCUCUGGGGCCACAAUUCAACCAACUACAAGCUUGAAUUUGGGGAAUGAGCCAUGGAGGUGUUGGGGAGAGCGUGUUCCUGGCAGUGCAAGAGCCAGGAGGCAGGAGACAGCCGUCUGCAGCAGCCCCACUCCCGCCCUCCAGGGGCUGUGCCUUCUCCUACAGCUGGACGGUACUGCUGCCAUCUCGGCUCACUGCAACCUCCCUGCCUGAUUCUCCUGCCUCAGCCUGCCGAGUGCCUGCGAUUGCAGGCGCGCGCCGCCACGCCUGACUGGUUUUCCUAUUUUUUUGGUGGAGAUGGGGUUUCGCUGUGUUGGCGGGGCUGGUCUCCAGCUCCUAACCGCGAGUGAUCCGCCAGCCUCCGCCUCCCGAGGCGCCGGGAUUGCAGACGGGAGUCUCGUUCACUCAGUGCUCAAUGGUGCCCAGGCUGGAGUGCAGUGGCGUGAUCUCGGCUCGCUACAACCUCCACCUCCCACCCGCCUGCCUUGGCCCCCCCAAAGUGCUGAGAUUGCAGCCUCUGCCCGGCCGCCACCCCGUCUGGGAAGUGAGGAGCUUCUCUGCCUGGCCGCCCAUCGUCUGGGAUGUGAGGAGCCCCUCUGCCUGGCUGCCCAGUCUGGAAAGUGAGGAGCGUCUCUGCCCGGCCGCCCAUCGUCUGAGAUGUGGGGAGCACCUCUGCCCUGCCGCCCCGUCUGGGAUGCGAGGAGCGUCUCUGCCCGGCUGCCCCGUCUGAGAAGUGAGGAGCCCCUCUGCCUGCCAACCGCCCCGUCUGGGAAGUGAGGAGCGUCUCCGCCCGGCAGCCACCCCGUCCUGGAGGGAGAAGUACCAGGAGGAUCACGGCGCCCACAGCCUGGCAGCUGCUCCACCACACCUUCUCACUCGGUGCCGAGUGCAGCUGUUCCUGUCUGAGGAGGCUCAGUUUGGAAGCAGCCCCUCUUGGGACUCAGAAAUCAAGGUCUCCGCCUUCCCCUUCCUCGAGAACACCAACCUCUCAAUGAACUUUCACUUCUUACUGCGGUUAGCAGUUUUUAGCAAGUUAUUUUUAUCUAAUAAAAACAAUAUAUAGUUUUAAAAAUGCGAACUCUACAGGAGUUCGAGACCAGCCUGGCCAACAUGUGAAACCCCGUCUCUACUAAAAAUACAAAAAACUAGCUGGGCGCAUGCCCGUAGUCCCAGCUAUUCGGGAGGCUGAGGCAGAAGAAUUGCUUGAACCUGGGAGGCGGACGUUGCGGUGAGCCCAGAUUGCAGCACUGCACUCCAGUCUGGGCUACAGAGUGAGAUUUCAACUAAAAAAAAAAAAAAAAAAAAAAGUUGGGGCGUGGUGGCUCACGCCUGUAAUCCCAGCACUUUGGGAGGAUGAGGCAGGCAGGUGGAUCACGGGGUCAUA